rnacentral:snRNA from 1 species
GAAUGUCAGGGCAAUCUGGCUGCAACAUCUGUCACUCCAUUGAUUGCCAGGGUUUAUUUGGCUUAUCUGGCUGGCUAGGUGGGCAUCCCUUGUCCCUCCCCGCUCCAUAUGUACCCCACACCCUUCCAGAAGUUGUGCACUUGGUCAGUUGAAGACGGCCUUUGCUGAGAGAAGAGGAAUGUUCAUGGUCAGGGGUAUAAGAGUAGCUGCAUUCCUGUGCUAGAACCUCCAGACAAGCUCUCAAGAUCCAUUUGGAGGAGAAUGUAGGGUAGUCAAGCUUCCAAGACUCAUCCAAGUGAGGUGCUGCAUUGGCAAUCUGCCUUUCUUU